UCUGGUUUUAAUAUAGGAGGGUGAAUGUAUCAGGAAUUGAACUAAAUUUAGUUUUCUCGUUACUGUUGUAAGGCUCAGUGAACCUCAGUCUUUGAUUCUUCCAGUAUUAAAUUCUAUGCCAGGUAGGGCUGGUAUGCUGAAAUGUUUUUCUCACUGUUGUAUCUCUGCCUUGUAUCUGUGUCUCAGAUAAGGUCUUUUUUUACAUUCUUGAGUCUCUUUGAGCAGUAUUUGUUACUCCAUGUUGCUAGCCUGGGAAAAGGAGAUAAGGAACAUUUUCUCCUUUGCUUUUAACCACCAGUCUUCUCCAGGGCCUUCUCAGUGAUUUUGCAUUGUCUCCAGAAGUAAGGGAUCUCUGACUGUCUAGGCCCAGGACAUAUUCCUGCCCCUUUCCUAGGGACAGGGACCUCUUUUCCUACAGGUAAAGGGUUUUUGUCUCUCUUUCUUGUCUUUCUUUUUCUCUGUCCCUACCUGCACACAUAUGCUUCCACAUUGGUCUCAAGGAGACAAGAUUUUUGCCCUUUCUCAUGCAGUUUAAGUCUUUUGUUCCAUAUGGGUGAUGAAGUAGAAAGUCUGGGUGAGACUUGAUGCCUUUCCUACAGUGAGUAAUGUUCCCCUCCUUCCAACAAAGGAGGCCUUGUUGAGAUUUUCCCCUGCUGCUAAUGUUGCUCAUGAGCACAGUGAGAUCUGUGGAGAACUUGCUAGGGGCUGUGAAUUCCUUUGGAGCAGCAGCCCUAGAGAUUUUAUUUGCUCACACUAUCCCACACAUAGUCUUUAGUAAUUUAUUAGAAAGAUUAGCUGAGUUUUUCUGCUGACUUAACUGUUGAAUAGCAUCAUCCUCAGGCACUACCAAAAGUGUUUAGAGCACUCUGUUGAAAAUGGCAGUAUUUGAAGAAACUGGAUGUCACUUAAAAUAUGAUCCUUGGAUAAACAUCACAUGCUGCUGGCCUUCUUACAAAAUGAGUGUGAGUGAAGUGCUUGGCUCUGCGAGAUGGUCCUGGAAUAUCUUCACCACUCUUCACAAUUACGUCCUCUUGCAUUCCCACUGAUCCUUCAGAAUUGUGUGGCCUUUCAACUUUCUGAAAGGCCUUCACUGUCUCUUAAUUCAAAUUCUCCACAUGUAAAUACAAGUCAGAUCACCUUACAAUUUAAUCUUUAAGCAAAACUGUAAAUCAUCAUUUCCCGCGACAUUACAAUUGUUGGGGGAAAGGUGUUUGGUGUCACAUCUAAUGGCUUGAAAACUCGGAGCAUCUCUGGACACAGUCAAUAUCCAGGUCUCAAAUAUGCAUUUACUGUGUUUAUUAUAAUGACUGCCUUUGUAUUCACUGCAAUCAUUUUCUACUGUUUCUUCCUUUGUGUAAUCAUUUCUUCCCUUCCCCUCCAUUGUAUUUUUUUAGAGUAAUUCUAUAUUCUGUUUUUGAAUACACACUUCUCUUUCUUUUAAAAUAAUUUGUUGUGUAUAUUUCAGUUUUACUACCUGAUGUAACAUUAGGAUUGCAGUGCUUACUCUCUCUCUCUCUCUGUAUAUGUGUAUAUAUACAUAUAUACAUAUACAUAUAUAUACAUAUCUAUAUAUAUAUAUCUGUGUAUAUAUACAUAUAUACAAAUCUGUGUAUAUAUGUAUAUGUACACAGACUGAGAGAUAGUACAAUGAUUACUAUAGUGAGGCAGUUUAACCUAUCUAUCAUCUCACAUAGUUGCUUUUUUGUGUGUAAUAAGAACACCUGAAAUCUACGUAUUUAACACAAAUUCCUAAUACAAUAUAAAAAUUCCUAAAGAAAUUAAAAAUGGAGCUGUGUUAUGACCCAGCAAUCCCUCUUCUGGGUCUACAUCCAAAGAAAAUGAAAUCACUACCUUGUAAAGAUCUCUGCACCCCCAUGUACAUUGCAGCGUUAUUCACAAUAGCUAGGCUAUGGAAACAACCCAGGUGUUCGCCAACCAAUGGACAAAUGGAUAAAAAACAGUGGUGUAUAUAUGCGUGUGGGUGUGUGUGUGUGUAGUGGAAUAUUAUUCAGCCUUAAAAAAGGAGACAGUCCUGCCUUUAGCCACAACAUGGAUGGAGCUGGGGACAUCAAGUGAAAUAAGCCAGACACAUAUACACAUCUAAAAAAAAUGGAGCACCUGUUUUCCUAACUUGUCUCUUAGCUAAAAAUUCUUCAGCAGUCUUCACUGCUUGGAAAAUAAAGCCCUCAAUACUUAGCUUCUCGUUAGAUAGAGGUGAUUCUCACUAUUCAUUGUAGGUGUGUUUAAAAAGUCACCACAAACACUGAAUUAGUGAAUACUGAGCCAUUGUUCCUAGGAGAAAUAUAGAGUUCGUUUCCUAUGAACCUCUGGUAAUAGCAUUUUUGUUAACCAAAUAAUAUAUAACCUUGUUUUAUGUGUGUUUCCCUGUACAGUUACCUUAUUUUUUAUAUAUUGAUUCAUUACCAUUAAACUCAUGGCUACCAACAUGAAAACUAUGCUUGAAUGAAGCACCUAACACAUAUUUUCUUCAUAGGGCACAUUGUAGUCUCUUGUGCUGAGGAUCACUGGAGAGCACUCAACACUACCAACACUCGGAAGCCAUUCUAAACAGUACAACACCAAAAAAAGUACAAAAAUGAAAAAACAAGGUGGCAUUUAAUAGACUGCUAAAAGGACACUUGUUUACAGCAGAGAGCUGAAAGGCGGCAGAGUGCCACAUUGUUCCAUGCCAAUUGGAAUGAUGUGCAGAGGGGGACGGGGUUGAACAUGUCCAUGAAACAUGGUGAAAGCGAUGCAAGGGCAUUGAUCGUGGGGUUACAAAUAAAUAUUUGGGACUAGGUGAAUUUGCAAAUAUAGAAUCCUUGAAUAAUGUGGAUCAAUGGAAUUUGCAUUAUGCUGUGAACUUAAUUCCACUGUCAUACACACUAAAAAAUAAGCCAUGUUCUAUCCAGAACAGAGGUUUGAGUAGUCCCAAGGCUCACCUUGUAUUCUCCUAAUCCUAUAACUCUUUUUUACUUUAUACCUUUGGUUUGAAACCACUCCUGUAUUUGUUCCUUCACAUAGCUUUCUGUGGUUAAAAUCACUAUCUCCUCUGCAAAAGCACUGAAGAGAAAUCACCAUUACAGAAGAUGUCAUAUUCUCUUUCAGUUAAGGAUUAUUUUUAUUCAGAUAUGACCCAUCCACGCCUCACCUGUAUCCUAGAAAUUUAAGCUAAAGCUCCAUGAAGGUAAGAACCUUCUCUCCCAUUUCUUUACACCCUCAGUAGCGAGCCCAGAACCCAGCACAUAGCAAGGGCUCGAUAAAUACUUACUAAACUGAAUUCAACUGAAUUUGAUUUGAAUCAGAUUGACGUAUAUUGCUAUUUCUUAGGUACCUCUAUAAAAAUCCCCUAUCACUGAUACGAUUCUGUAUGCCAUGUACAAAAAAAUUCUGUAAAAAAUGGAGAAAAGCUUACAAUAAUCUCCACAGAGAACCAGAGGCAAUAAUGAGAAGGGUAAGAAGUAAAGUAAAUGUGGAGGCAGCAACCUGGUUAGAGGGGUGCCACAUGAAUUAUUUAUUUAUUUAUUGAGUCGGAUUUUUUGCUCUUGUCGCCUAGGCUGGAGUGCAAUGACGUGAUUUCAGCUCACUGCAACCUCAGCCUUCAGGUUCAAGUGAUUCUCCUCCCUCAGCCUUCCAGGCAUCUGGGAUUACAGGAGCCAACCACCAUGCCUGCCUAAUAUUUUUGUAUUUUCAGUAGAGAUGGGGUUUUACCAUGUUGGCCAGGCUGGCCUCCAUCUCCUGACCUUGGUGAUCUGCCUGCCUCAGCCUCCCAAAGUGCUGGGAUCACAGGUGUGAGCCACUGGACCUGGCCUGCUACGUGAUUUAAAUGGAAGCUGUGUCUGUGUAGCCAGCACAGCAUUUUUAUAUUACAUGUAUCUGCGUGUCCUGAUGCAAGUGUGAAUUUGGGUGGGGAGUGACUCAUGGCUAUCCAGGGUGGACUAAGCCAGCUACUCUUGGCACUGUACAGGAGCCUGAUAGGCUCUCCACCCGCAUAAUUCAAACAGAUGGUAGAACACUAGAACACUUGUGUGCAUCCAGAAACAAACCCAACUAGGUCAGGAGAGUAUUCCAAAUAUUAUCUUAAUUAUUUCAAUGUAAUUAUAGCCAGUGUAAUUUCUUACCAAAAGAAGUAAUAAGCAUACUCCUUCAUUUAUCUCAAACUAUGCUUAAAUAAUAGCACUGGGUGAAAUUGUUGUGUAAAUUAAGUUAGUUAUGCAAUAUCCCAUUAAGGAAUAUCCUGGAAAGCUAGAUUUAAAACAAGAUAUUGAUUAUAUCUGCAUCUAAUUUGUGGGCUAUGCUAGUGUCUCCUCAAGCUCAUGGGGCGAGAGAGGGGUUUGGUUCACAAAGUUAGUAAAUCAUCUUUAUCACCCUGGGAGUUCGUUGAAUUACAGAUUUCUCCAGCUCUGUCCACUCUGAGAUUCUGAUUCAGUAAAACUGAAGAUUUUAUAUUUCUCUUUAAUAUUGAGCACAACUGAGUAAGCUACAUUUUAUUACUAUUUUCAUCUAUGCAUAUAUAAUUUAAGAUUUUUAUUUCAAAUGCAUUUCUUCUUAAAGCAUAUAAUGAAAAAUAGAAGCAUUAGGAGAGACAUCAUUUUUUGCUAUCAACAAAAAUGUCACCAUCAGUGUAUAGAUUUUAAUUAGAUAUUUUAUCUACUUAAUUUUAGUAGCAUUCCUCAAGAGAAAAUAGAAAAUUUGCAAACUCUGUCUAACAAACCACAUGUACGCAAAUAUGUCUUUAGUCUAUCAGUCAGUUGAUUAUCUAUUUAGCUACUUAUCUCUGUCAUCUAUUGGCUUAAAAUUUUAUUCAGAUUGCCUUUUCUAUGAUGCUUCCUAAAUAACUACUAUAUACACCUAUUUUACAAGUAUUUGUGUUUCUUUUGUUGGUUGAAUUUCUAAAAUCAGAAAAAUACCAUUAUCAAUCCAUCAAUGUGGAUUUCUUACCUCCAUCACCAUCCAACUUACAGUCAUUCCUUUUAAUUUUAAAUACUCUGACUGGGCACAGUGGUGCAUGCCUGUAGUCUUGGCUACUUAGGAGGCUGAGGCAGGAGGAUCACUUGAGCCCAGGAAUUCGAGGCUGCAGUGAGCUACGAUGGCACCACUGCACUCCAGCCUGGGUGACAGAGCAAGAGUCCAGAUCCAAAGAUAAUAAAAAUAAUACUUAAAUUAAUUGUAAAGGAUGCUCAAAUUUGGUGACCUUAACAGAAAAAUAAAUUUAUCUUACAGUACAUUUUAAAAUACACAUGCGCGCGCGCGCGCACACACACACACACACACACACACACACACACACACACACACACACGACAGCAGAAAUUCCCUCAGCCACUUGAAUAGACUAGUCUUAAUAUUGGUGUGAUACUUAUUUCUGUGGGUGAUACAGGUUUAGAAGUGAAUUUUCCCAGAAAUGAAGACAAAGGAAUGAGUAAAAAGUACAUCAGAGGAUAUCUUUUCUAUACUAACCUAGAGUCUCAUGCCAA
rnacentral:lncRNA from 1 species